UACGUAGGGUGCAAGCGUUAAUCGGAAUUACUGGGCGUAAAGUGUGCGCAGGCGGUGAUGUAAGACAGUUGUGAAAUCCCCGGGCUCAACCUGGGAACUGCAUCUGUGACUGCAAGGCUUGAGUGCGGCAGAGGAGACUGGAAUUCCUGGUGUAGCAGUGAAAUGCGUAGAUAUCAGGAGGAACACCGAUGGCGAAGGCAGGUCUCUGGGCUGACACUGACGCUCAUGCACGAAAGCGUGGGGAGCAAACAGG
rnacentral:rRNA from 1 species